rnacentral:lncRNA from 10 species
UGCAGAGAUGGGGUCUGGCUAUGUUGCUCACGCUAGACUUCAACUGAUGGCCUCAAGUGAUCCUCCUGUCUCAGCCUCCCAUAGUGCUGUGAUUACAAGUGUGAGCCACCACAUCCUGGUCUAAUUCAGCAUUUUAAAAGGACUUUGUUGACCAUGUCUCACGAUGAUUAAGUUUGCAGAUGAUAUAUAGAGAGAAUGGAUGGAAUAUUGGAGGAUAGCAUUCUAAAGGGAUUUCAACAAGUUUGGAGAAUGACUUGAUCGAAAUAACAAGAUAUUUAACAUGACAUUUGUGAAGUCCUAGACUUAGAUAGCUAACUACACAAGGAUAGAAUAGCUUAAACAGCAGCAUAUGUGACAAACAAAAAAGGAAGAUUAGUAAGCCUUCCAGUAUGAACCAACGGUAUAAUCUGGAUACGUAAAAAAGUCGUUGCAAUGUGGAGUUACAUUGGUGGCCUGAAGUCCAGACAUCCAGCAGAUGGCGCUCUGUGCCCGUUUUAUGUGGCGGAGAGACUCGCGCCCGUCAUUCCGCUUCCCGUGUUGAUGCAAAUCCUGAGCAUUCUACUGUGUUAAAAUCAACACUUCAUGUUCUCAUAAUUAGCAUUCUGCUUUUAGAAAUGACCCUACCGUCCUUUGUUUUUUCUUAACAAAGCAAAGCUGCGAAAGUUUAUUAAGCACAGUAUUACACUCUUGGAUGGGGAGAGCAGACAGACCUCUCUGGGAGAUGAGAUCAGCCCCUACUCUCCUCUUGGAUUUGGAUUUUGUCUUCCUUCCUGGCUCAGUUUGAGCUUGAAUUCUGCAAUGUGCUUCACAUGACGUGGGGGAUGAGUGAUACCGUGAGAGAACACUGGGCUGGGAGCUGGUAGUUCUGUACUUGGGUGACUUUGGGCAGAUGUUUGACCUCUUACAGCCUUGAAUUCCUUGUUUGUAGACUAAGGUUGUGUACCAGAUGAUCACUAAGGUCCAUUUCUUCAAUCAAAUUCUGUGAUUCUGCUUCCAGUUUUCAGCCUACAGUUCUCUGGGGAGGGGACAUAAAGGCACCACAGUAGUGUCUUCAAUAAAGUCAAGUUGGAGAGAGGAUAGUUGUCUCAGUCUGUUUUCUGUUGC